rnacentral:lncRNA from 1 species
ACAAUGGCAGCUGAGUCUCCAUAAUUCGUCAGCUACUCUAUAUCACCUUAUAUUAGUGUUCAUACUAAUUUCUUUUUUGGGUCCCCCCCACUACACCUUUGCCUUAUAAUCAAAUAAAUAUGGCAUAUGCUUAGAACUACACAAAGUUGAGCUAGUUGGUAGGGAUUCAUCGUGAAAGAAAGUUAUUUAUGUUGCCU